rnacentral:rRNA from 1 species
UAGUGGCGAACGGGUGAGUAACACGUGGGCAAUCUGCCCUUCACUCUGGGACAAGCCCUGGAAACGGGGUCUAAUACCGGAUAACACUCUGUCCCGCAUGGGACGGGGUUGAAAGCUCCGGCGGUGAAGGAUGAGCCCGCGGCCUAUCAGCUUGUUGGUGGGGUGAUGGCCUACCAAGGCGACGACGGGUAGCCGGCCUGAGAGGGCGACCGGCCACACUGGGACUGAGACACGGCCCAGACUCCUACGGGAGGCAGCAGUGGGGAAUAUUGCACAAUGGGCGAAAGCCUGAUGCAGCGACGCCGCGUGAGGGAUGACGGCCUUCGGGUUGUAAACCUCUUUCAGCAGGGAAGAAGCGAGAGUGACGGUACCUGCAGAAGAAGCGCCGGCUAACUACGUGCCAGCAGCCGCGGUAAUACGUAGGGCGCAAGCGUUGUCCGGAAUUAUUGGGCGUAAAGAGCUCGUAGGCGGCUUGUUGCGUCGGUUGUGAAAGCCCGGGGCUUAACCCCGGGUCUGCAGUCGAUAC